AUUGAACGCUGGCGGCAUGCCUUACACAUGCAAGUCGAACGGCAGCACGGGAGCAAUCCUGGUGGCGAGUGGCGAACGGGUGAGUAAAGCAUCGGAACGUGCCCAGUCGUGGGGGAUGACGUAGCGAAAGCUACGCUAAUACCGCAUACGAUCUGUGGAUGAAAGCGGGGGACCGUAAGGCCUCGCGCGAUUGGAGCGGCCGAUGUCAGAUUAGGUAGUUGGGGAGGUAAAGGCUCACCAAGCCGACGAUCUGUAGCUGGUCUGAGAGGACGACCAGCCACACUGGGACUGAGACACGGCCCAGACUCCUACGGGAGGCAGCAGUGGGGAAUUUUGGACAAUGGGCGCAAGCCUGAUCCAGCAAUGCCGCGUGCAGGAUGAAGGCCUUCGGGUUGUAAACUGCUUUUGUACGGAGCGAAACGGCUUCCACUAAUACUGGGGGCUAAUGACGGUACCGUAAGAAUAAGCACCGGCUAACUACGUGCCAGCCGCCGCAGUAAUAC
rnacentral:rRNA from 1 species